UCACUUAGUUGCCCUGCUUAUAAAUAACACACUGCACAUUUGAACCCCAGCUCCACCAGUGCUUUUCCCUGUGUACCAUGCUACUUUAGUAAUAAACUUACUUUGUAUGUUGUUGUUUUACUGCAUGACAUUUAUAACACUGUUUGGUCAGCAGCAUACCCCUUGUCCUGCUUAUCUGUUCUUAGAAGAAGGAAAUCUCACCAACUAUCAUUGCCAUUGCAGAUUUAUGCCAGAGUGGGAGGCUGGGGAUACAGCUCACUGAUAGAGCACUUGCCUACCCUGCUUGAAGUCCUGGAUUAGAUCUUCAGCACUGGAAAACGUCAGUUUUCAUCGGAUUCACUCUAUCCCCAAGCACUGGAAAGGAAUUCUCCUCAAGUGUUUUUUCUCAAUUUCUAGAAGGCUGUCCGUCACGGCUGCCAGUGCUGAAAUUCACCUGGGCUUGGAAAACAGCAGAGGUUUUGUGUUCUGGGAUCAGCAUGCUGCAGAGAACCACCCUUCUCUGUUUCACCUAGGCUGCAAGCCUAUUGGUUGGUACCACCUACACCCAGAGCAGGUCAUCAGUCUGCGGGCAGGUGCUCAGAAAUAUUCUCUUUGGACUUCUCUACUGAAGUGGCUCUCCUUACCUCCUGUCAUUGUUAAUUGUGAUAUAUCCACUUGACUUCAGUAAGAACUGCCUAGCAAAUCAAGACUCACCCAGCUGACUCUACAGUGAGUUUCCAGGCCGGCAAACUGCAGCUGCUUCAGGCUCCUGUGGCUCUCCAGUGUACAGGCAGCCAUUUUGGAUUCUUUCACCUCUGACCCCACAGAUGUCCCUUGGGACUCUUCCACUUCCCACAUG